rnacentral:rRNA from 1 species
GACGAACGCUGGCGGCGUGCUUAACACAUGCAAGUCGUACGGUAAGGCCCUUUCGGGGGUACACGAGUGGCGAACGGGUGAGUAACACGUGAGUAACCUGCCCACAACUUUGGGAUAACGCUAGGAAACUGGUGCUAAUACUGGAUAUGUGCCCCUGCUGCAUGGUGGGGGUUGGAAAGCUCCGGCGGUUGUGGAUGGACUCGCGGCCUAUCAGCUUGUUGGUGGGGGAGUGGCCUACCAAGGCGGCGACGGGUAGCCGGCCUGAGAGGGUGACCGGCCACAUUGGGACUGAGAUACGGCCCAGACUCCUACGGGAGGCAGCAGUGGGGAAUAUUGCACAAUGGGCGCAAGCCUGAUGCAGCAACGCCGCGUGCAGGAGGACGGCCUUCGGGUUGUAAACCGCUUUCAGCAGGGACGAAGCUUUUUGUGACGGUACCUGCAGAAGAAGCACCGGCUAACUACGUG